rnacentral:rRNA from 1 species
CCUACGGGAGGCAGCAGUGAGGAAUAUUGGUCAAUGGACGAGAGUCUGAACCAGCCAAGUAGCGUGAAGGAUGACUGCCCUAUGGGUUGUAAACUUCUUUUAUAUGGGAAUAAAACGUUCCACGUGUGGGAUUUUGUAUGUACCAUAUGAAUAAGGAUCGGCUAACUCCGUGCCAGCAGCCGCGGUAAUACGGAGGAUCCGAGCGUUAUCCGGAUUUAUUGGGUUUAAAGGGAGCGUAGGUGGAUUGUUAAGUCAGUUGUGAAAGUUCGCGGCUCAACCGUAAAAUUGCAGUUGAAACUGGCAGUCUUGAGUACAGUAGAGGUGGGCGGAAUUCGUGGUGUAGCGGUGAAAUGCUUAGAUAUCACGAAGAACUCCGAUUGCGAAGGCAGUUCACUGGACUGCAACUGACACUGAGGCUCGAAAGUGUGGGUAUCAAACAGGAUUAGAUACCCUUGUAGUC